GCGCAGAACCUUACCAGCCCUUGACAUACCCGGUGGCGGUUUUCCAGAGAUGGAUUCUUUCAGUUCGGCUGGACCGGAGACAGGUGCUGCAUGGCCGUCCUCAGCUCGUGUCGUGAGAUGUUGGGUUAAGUCCUGCAACGAGCGCAACCCCCGUCUUUAGUUGCUACCAUUUAGUUGAGCACUCUAAAGAGACUGCCGGUGAUAAGCCGCGAGGAAGGUGGGGAUGACGUCAAGUCCUCAUGGCCCUCACGGGCUGGGCUACACACGUGCUACAAUGGCGGUGACAGAGGGACGCAAAGGCGCAAGCCUUCGCAAAUCUCAAAAAGCCGUCUCAGUUCGGAUUGGGCUCUGCAACUCGAGCCCAUGAAGUUGGAAUCGCUAGUAAUCGCAGAUCAGCAUGCUGCGGUGAAUACGUUCCCGGGCCU
rnacentral:rRNA from 1 species